ACCUGGUCCAAGUGCAGUGGUCAUUACAAUUAAUUGAUCACAGCCAGUUACAGAUUUCAUUGUUUCCGCUCCACUCUGACUGCUUCAAGCGACUGCUUCAUUUGACUAGCCUAAA
rnacentral:Y_RNA from 1 species